AACGCACGAGACCUGCGGACCUGCGGAGGGAUCAUUAAUGAGAAGCUGCCCCUCGUGGGUAGACCUCCCACCCUCUGUGAACUUACCUUUGUUGCUUUGGCAGGCCCGUCCUCUGGACCGCCGGCUUCGGCUGGCCCGUGCCUGCCAGAGGAUUCCAAACCCUGUCUGUCAGUGUUGUCUGAGUCUAUAUACAAUCGUUAAAACUUUUAGCAACGGAUCUCUAGAUCGGAAGAGCACACG
rnacentral:misc_RNA from 1 species